AUAGCUUAUAAAUAUUAUGAUGCAAUCUAUAUUAAAAAUAACGGAAACGACGAACCAAGAGCUCAUGUUGAUGGUCGAUAUUUCAUCGGAAUAUUAAUUUUUCACCAUAUUCUAGAAGUUAUUGCAAAUUUCGGUGUGAUUUUCUGUUCAAGCAAGAAAACCGGUAUGUUGAUGACAAACUGGAUAUCUUUGAAGACGACGUUGUUAUUUGGAACAGUAUUACUGAUUCUGUUUUUUAGUAUCGGCAACUUUCAAGUUUCUGUUGUUUCUGGACUGAUAGUUCUCAUUAUUGGAAAUUUAUACUUAACUGGUUGUGUUUACUCUUGGUUAGUUAUUUACAAUCGAUGCAGGGAAAUACAAAAAGAAGAAAGGCUACCCACUGCUUACGAUCCGUGAAGAAUAAAUAAACAUUGAAGAUUUAUCAUUAAGCAAAUAGUCAUUUGGGGUCCAAAUUACUCCAGAAGUUUUCAAUUCCAAAUUUCUAUGUCUUAACCUUUAAAUUUUAAGCUAUAAAAAUCUCGAUAACCAUUUCUAUAAAAUUUUGCGUUUUUUUUACCAAAAUGAGUACCCCGACUAGAAAUUUCAGUUCGUUUUUUAUUAGCUUCAGAUUAGACAUGCCGAAUUCCGAAUUCGCGCCAAAUGAGGCAACCGCAUAAAGCUCGCAUCACUAAACUAACGCACGUCCGAAACCCUGCAUAAUUAGGAAAGCCGAAUUCGGCACAGAUUCAGAAACCAAAG